UGCUCUUACAAAUGGGGUGGUGUUUGGGCGUCUAGGCAUUGGUGGAGGGAGGGCAUUGAUGGUUGUUCUCCUUCCUUCCAGAGUGAUCGCCAGUUGUCUUAGGACCUGGUUGUGUCUCCAGGUGUAGCGGCCUUGGGACAGACUGGUUUUACAGCCGGUGAGGAUGUGACUCAGUGUUGCAGGUGUUUGACAGAGUGCACAAGAAGGAUCUUCUCCAAACCAUUGGUUUAGGUUUUUGGGUGUGGGAAGAACAUCAUAGGUGGCUCUGAUGAUGAAGCUGAUUUGGCUUCCUUCCAUUUCCCAAAGAUCCUUCCAUGUGAGCUUACGAUGCUCCAGGUUUUCCCAGCUGGUCCACUGUCCCUGUUUGGACUGUGCUACUGCUGUCGCGCAUCUGUUUGCCUCCUCUUGUUGCCGAACCUGAGUAACCACCAGCUUUCUCCUCUGGGUUGAUGUUGCUUUGUGCCAUGUGGGUCGACUUGUUCCGAGUCCAAACCCGCCUCUUCCAUGCUGCACCUGUCCCACAAUGUCUCCAUGCCUGAGAGCAGAUUUGGCUUGCUGUACCGCCUCAGAUGGGUUCCAUUUCCUCCCAGUUGCCAGUCUGGGAGCAGCUGCACGGAUCACCUCAUCUUGCGACUCAGUCAGGGUCAUGUUCAGCCUCACCUUGGUGCACUUAAACUCCUCUGUGAGGCUAGAGAUGGGCAGUUCCAGGGCACCAUGUCCAUACAAGCCGAUGUUGCUGAGGCAACGCGGGAGGCCAAGCCACUUCUUGAUGUAUGAGCUCACUGUUCUUUCCAUCUUCUCGACUUUGGUCAUGGGGAUCUCAUAGACUGUUAGAGGCCACAUCAGGCGGGGGAGCAAUCCAAACUGCAGGCACCACAGUUUCAACUUGCCAGGAAGCAAGGUCUUGUCUAUGCUGACGAGGCCUUUGAUGGUUUCUUCCCUCAGCUGAUCACUCUGGUCCGAGUCUUUGAGAUGUGCGUUGUAUAGUCGCCCUAGGCUCUUGACUGGCAGUUCAGACACCAAUGGGAUGGGUGUGUCCUUGAUGUGGAACCUCUGGUCUGUGAGUCUCCCCCUGACGAUGGAUAUGCUCCUGGAUUUGCUUGGUUUGAACUUCAUCCGUGCCCAUGUGAUGUUGGCAUGAAGCUUUCCUAGCAGAUGUUUGGUGCAUGCAACGGUUGAGGUCAGGGUGGUCAUGUCAUCCAUGUAAGCGCGAAUGGGAGGGAGACGCUGGCCACACUUCAGACGUUCUCCACCCACAACCCAUUUGGAAGCUCGAAUUAUCACUUCCAUUGCCAUGGUGAAGGCUAGUGGGGAGAUAGUGCAUCCAGCCAUUAUUCCCACUUCCAAAGAUUGCCAUGAUGUUGUAUAUUCUGUUGUUUUGACACAGAAUUGCAGAUCUUGGAAGUAGUUUCUCACCAGGUUUGUGAUGGUACUUGGGAUGUGGAAGAAGUUGAAAGCUGUCCAGAUCAGAGAAUGAGGGACGGAUCCAAAGGCGUUGGCUAGGUCCAGAAAUAGGACGUGCAGGUCCCUUCCUUCCCUUUUGGCAGAUUGGAUUUGGUGCCAUAUCAUGCUUGUAUGUUCCAAGCAUCCUGAAAACCCAGGUAUUCCAGCUUUCUGCACAGAUGUAUCAAUCAGGUUGUUUUGCUUCAGGUAUGUUGUCAUCCUUUUUGCAACGAUGCUAAAAAAGACCUUCCCUUCCACGUUCAACAGGUUAAUUUGCCGGAAUUGAUCGAUGUUGGAGGCAUCCUUCUCCUUGGGGAUUACCACUCCUCCAGCUCUACGCCAUGCUUUUGGAAUGGUUUGCUUCGUCCACAUCACCUUCAUUUGCCUCCAUAGGAAGCGUAAGAUGUUUGGGGAGUUUUUAUACAGCCGAUAUGGAACUCCAUUUGGUCCUGGAGCUGAAGCUGCCCUUGCCUUCCUCACUGCUUCCUCGACCUCGCUCCACUUUGGAGGACUGUCAUCCAGCUGGUGUUCUGGUAGAGGAAUUGGUGGCAUGUCUGAUGGUAUCUCCCUUUGUUCAAAUCUUUGGCUGUCUGUGUGAGUGGUGAAUUAAAUGGUACUGGAUGACCGAUCAGGCUAGGUGUAGGGUAAUCUUACCCGAACCUAGAUGUAUCCCAUACUUGAAUGUGUUUCCCUGUAGUAAAAGGUGGUAUAUAAGGAUAACCCCUUGGCCUUUACUGCAAACAUUGUUUUUCUUGUCUGACAAAAUGUCGAAGACAUUUCAACUUGUAAAUUUUGAUGGUCCUUGACCAUCAACUUCUAGAACAGCCAAGACUGAAUGGAAGCUCUGUAUGCUAUGCCAAGAACACACGGCAGAGUCACUGAGAUGUCCUUUGCAGAACACACGAGCAGACAAGGGGAGUGGAUACACUUCACUUGCAGAGCAUUUGAUCCAGUUUAAUGAACUUGGCCAGCUCCCUUCAACUUUGGCAAUUGAAAGACUCGAUGAGGGUCAUGGUAUUGAAGCUGCCAUGGUUGCAAACAAAGCUCAAUAUCAUCAUACAUGCAGGCUGAAGUACAAUGAGACCAUGUUGAAAAGAGCAAAAAAGAGAGCAUGCAGCGAAAGUCCUGAUCAACAGUCAGAAUCCAAAGUCAGAAGGUCCCAACCAAGCCAGACUCCUGAAAUGAGACAGAACAUCUGUUUCAAUGAAGGCCUUCAUGAGGCUGCAACAUUUCAGGUGGACAAUCGAGCCUGAGAAAGCAUGUGCACUACCAGUGUUCCAUGCAUUGACCGGUUGUGACACCGUGUCAAGCUUUCUUGGUCAUGGGAAAAAGACUGCAUGGGCUGUAUGGGCUGUGUUUUAAGAGCUUACACAUGCCCUGUUGAAACUGUCUUCAGCCCUAAAGGACAUAACACAGGAAGUAAUGGCCACAAUUGAGAGGUUCAUUAUCUUAAUCUAUGACCGAACCAGCACAUGCACAGAAAUCAAUAUGGCAAGGAGGAAGUUAUUUGCAAAGAGGCACAAUGUGCAAGCAAUCCCUCCCACCAAGGCUGCCCUACAAGAGCAUGUCAAGAGAGCAGUAUACUAAGGAGGCCACGUGUGGGGUACAGUCCUGGUUUCAACACCAGAACUACCUUCACCGUGUGAAUGGGGCUGGUCAAAGACAUCUGAGGGGGACUUUGAACCCUUCUGGACAUCCCUACCAGAUGCUGGCCAGUCCAGUUAUGAACUGGUCUCUUGCAAAUGCAACAAGGGUUGUGUUGGGCAAUGCAAGCCCACUUACAGUGCACAGCCCUUUGUUUCUGUGAAGGUGAGUGUGAAUAGUCUUCCCUGUUAUCGACAAUGGGUUUGUCUUGCUUAAUAUUAGCCUUGUGAGAUGGAAAGAAGACUCUUGGAAAUUCUAAAGUUCUUAAUGCAAAUUCUGUAUCAAGAAAAAUAUAUGUUUUGACACAGAUAUCCAAAUCUAACCAGUCGCGGCCAUUUUGAAUUUUCAAUGAAAUUGCUCCACAAUCCAAAAGACAUUUUACAAGUACUAUGUAUGGUAAAUAACUUUGAAAUACGUUUCCAUUACAUUUUUUCGCAAAAUAAAAGCGAUGUUUAUCAAAUUUUGACAAAGUACAAUUGCGAUUUGCGGGUGUUUCCAUUGAAUGGUGUUCAGUGCAUAAGCGAGCCAUCUGCCUCUCGCGAGCCGUGCUUGAAUGGCCGUUGCCUAGCAACAAGGUAAACUUCCUGCCCGUGCGACCUCGUAUUCCUUAAGCCUUUUUGCACACCGACAUGGACGAGACACAAAACA